rnacentral:misc_RNA from 1 species
AACGCACGAGACCUGCGGACCUGCGGAAGGAUCAGUAGAGAUUGGUGGGGGGAGUGGUGGUGAGUGGGUGGAGAGGUGGGUGGGUGUGGGGUCGUCAGUCAGUGAUGGCUGGUGGCUCUAGGCCGUUCACCCUCUGCUUGCUUGCUUGCUUGCUCGCUCCUUCCCGGCACAUUAGCGCUUGGAGAGUAUGACUGAGUGAGAGAGAUAAAUUAAUACUGACAACUUUCAGCAACGGAUCUC